rnacentral:rRNA from 1 species
GAUGAACGCUAGCGGCAGGCUUAAUACAUGCAAGUCGAGGGGCAGCACGGGUAGCAAUACUGGGUGGCGACCGGCAAACGGGUGCGGAACACGUACACAACUUACCAUAUGGUGGGGGAUAGCCUUUGGAAACGGAGAUUAAUACCCCAUAAGAUAUUUAGAUCGCAUGAUUUGGAUAUUAAAGAUUUAUUGCCAUUUGAUGGGUGUGCGUAUGAUUAGGUAGUUGGUGAGGUAAAGGCUCACCAAGCCGACGAUCAUUAACUGGUGUGAGAGCACGACCAGUCACACGGGCACUGAGACACGGGCCCGACUCCUACGGGUGGCUG